GGAGGAGGUGCAAGAGCAAGAGCAGAGCAAGAGCAGAGCAGAGCAAGAGGAAGAGGAAGAGGAAAACGGGCAAUAUGGCGGUGCCUAUGAGCAACGUGGAUGAGAUCCGUGAUAGAGUGAUUUUGGGCGAAUUUGGCGUAAAAAAUGUUCAUUCUACAAAUUUUCCUGGUAAUUAUCCUGGUUAUGAUGACACAUGGGACCUCGGGAAGUUCAAAAAGAAUUUCAGGCUCGAUGUCGUUCAUAUGGAUGAGAACACGUUGGAGUUUGACAUGGUGGGAAUAGACGCUGCCAUUGCAAAUGCUUUCAGGCGGAUAUUACUAGCUGAGGUCCCAACCAUGGCUGUUGAAAAAGUUUUCAUUUACAACAAUACGUCUAUAAUUCAAGAUGAGAUCCUAGCACAUAGGCUUGGCUUGGUACCGAUCAAAGCUGAUCCUCGUCUUUUUGAGUACAGAAAUACUGGUGAUGAGGAAGGCACAGAAAUUGACACAAUUCAGCUUCAGCUGAAGAUCAAAUGCACAAGAAAUCCCAGGGCAUCUAAAGAUGCCUCUGAUCCCAAAGAAUUAUACCUCAAUCACAUGGUGUAUUCAAGGGACAUGAAGUGGGUACCUAUUGGAAAUCAGGCUGAUGUGUUUGCUGAUGCUAACAUUGGUCCUGUGCAUGGAGACAUACUGUUGGCACAGCUUCGGCCGGGACAAGAGCUGGAUAUAGUUAUGCACUGUGUUAAAGGAAUAGGUAAGGACCAUGCAAAGUUUUCCCCAGUUGCCACCGCAAGUUAUAGGCUACUUCCUGAGAUCACAUUACUGAAGACCAUUGAAGGAGAAAAAGCUGAGAGAUUAAAGCGCUGCUUCUCACCUGGAGUUAUUGAAUUGGAGGAUGUUGAUGGAAAACAGGUGGCUAAGGUGGUCAACAGUCGUCUGGAUACAUGCAGCAGAGAAGUGCUUAGGCAUGAUGACCUAAAGAGUUUGGUUAAACUCGGAAGAGUGCGGGACCAUUUCUUAUUCUCAGUGGAGUCUACUGGAAUUUUACCACCUGAUGUCCUGUUCAGUGAGGCCGUUAAUGUACUCAUCGCAAAGUGCCAGAAAUUUCUGACUGAGCUUGAUUCAGUGAAUGAAAUGGAAUAGAUUGAGGGAUGUUGGACUACAUGUACUGAAGGCAACAUUAACCGGACCUCAACCUUGAAAGCGGAGAAGCCUUUGUUUGUAAUGACCGCUUCAAGACGCUUCCUGUAUGAAGAAAUUAGUCGACCGCAGUAUUCAGGUGUGAUUUUGGCCCAUUCUUCUAAACAUAUUGUCUUUAAAUCUUGUUCAAUUGGAUUCAAGUCAGGUGAUCGACUGGGCCAUUCUAACCCCUUGAUUUUUUUUCUCUGAAACCAAUUGAGAGUUUCUUUUGCUGUAUGCUUUGGAUCGUUGUCCUACUGGAAGGUCCACCCACGUCACAUCAACAUCAUUCUGGUGGUUGGCAGCAAAUUCUUCUCAAGAAUCUCCAGGUAAAGGGCUCCCUUCAUCAUUCCUUCAGUUAUAUGAAUCUGCCAGUACCAUGCGAUGAAAAACAGCCCCACACCAUGAUGCUUCCAACUCCAAACAUCACUUAGGUGGUGUCUGUGCUGGCACUGGAGGAUGAUCAGAUAUAAAUCCUUUCUCCUCCAGAUGGGCUGCAUUGCCAUUGAGGCUAAUUACUGGAGGAGGCUGAAGUCACUACAGCUGCACUGCAUCAUUCUGAGCAUGUUUCUGCCAACAAUCCACCAAGCCAGACACACACACACACACACUGGCUUGUGCACGCACAUGUGCACACGCACACACAGAAGGCAGUUUAAUUUGGGCCAGAACAUUAUCCGUGGUGUCUGGAAGCUGAAAGAGGUGACAGUAAAUUGGGUCACCUUCCUUUGUGCCACGAGCUCGCUCUCAUCAUUAGAGCUCCAUGAAGGAUGUGGAAGCAUGUAGAAUUAAAAUGGGGGAAAUCAUUGAGCACUUUCUUUUCCAUUCUCCUUCUUCUGUCUGACUUCACAGUCUGACUCAUUUGUUUAGGCAAACAUAAAUCCUAUUCAUUAUAUAAUAUAUGGCAAAGAAAUAAAAGUGGCAUUAAUACCUCUGUCAUUAUGCCAUUGAUUACUGAGAUGACUUUGGAAGAUUGGUCAUUUUAGACAUUUGGUAUAUGCCUAUGUAAGGACUGUUGAUAUAGAUAUGUUAUAGUUUGCGUGUGUUAGUUUAGAUUCCGGUUACUUUGUUCCUAUUAAUCCCUGUAAUCUUCCUAUUGUGCUUGGCAGACUCCAGCUAAAGUAAAGUGUAGUGUGUAAUGACCACCGACUGCAUGAGUGAAGCCUCAGGUAUUGUAGAGUCAUUACUGUACUGCACUGUAGUUAUUGCUGACAUAGUGAAAUUGUGUUUGAGUAAGGAAUUUAUCCAGGCAGAAAGUAAAGCUCUAUUAAUAAUUAAAUGAUUAAGACUAGAGUACUGUUAGUAUAAGAGAUUGUUUCAUGCCAAGAACAGGAACCAGGUGUUGACACUGGCAGUCUUUAACUGGGUCAGUAUUCCUCAUUUUAGGUCAUGCAUAUCUACUGAGGGGAAUAGAAACACAAUUUCAUCUGAUUUGGGCAGCAGCUGUCUCUGUUACUGGUUCGGAUAUGACUGCGAGGGCAACAGUGCUCAUUUGUGACAGUUACAUUUCUGCUUGGUGUAUGGAGUGCCUUAAUGAUCAGUGUCUCCUUGGCAUAGGUCACAAGUGGCUGGACUCUACGGCUCAAGGCUGGUUGAAGUUAAUUGAAUGUGAGGCACCCGUCUGCCUGCAUGUAUGCUUUCCUGGCUGCAUGUUUCCAGCGAGUGAGAGA